GAUUGAACGCUGGCGGCAGGCUUAACACAUGCAAGUCGAGCGGUAGCACAGGGGAGCUUGCUCCCUGGGUGACGAGCGGCGGACGGGUGAGUAAUGUCUGGGAAACUGCCUGAUGGAGGGGGAUAACUACUGGAAACGGUAGCUAAUACCGCAUAACGUCGCAAGACCAAAGAGGGGGACCUUCGGGCCUCUUGCCAUCAGAUGUGCCCAGAUGGGAUUAGCUAGUAGGUGGGGUAAUGGCUCACCUAGGCGACGAUCCCUAGCUGGUCUGAGAGGAUGACCAGCCACACUGGAACUGAGACACGGUCCAGACUCCUACGGGAGGCAGCAGUGGGGAAUAUUGCACAAUGGGCGCAAGCCUGAUGCAGCCAUGCCGCGUGUGUGAAGAAGGCCUUCGGGUUGUAAAGCACUUUCAGCGAGGAGGAAGGUGGUGAGCUUAAUACGCUCAUCAAUGA
rnacentral:rRNA from 1 species